rnacentral:rRNA from 1 species
GAUGGACGCUAGCGAUAGGCUUAACACAUGCAAGUCGAGGGGCAGCACAAGGUAGCUUGCUAUCUGGGUGGCGACCGGCGCACGGGUGCGUAACGCGUAUGCAACUUGCCCUAUACAGGAGGAUAACCCGUCGAAAGACGGACUAAUACUGCGUAUGCUCACAACUUGGCAUCAAGUGGUGAGGAAAGAAAUUCGGUAUAGGAUAGGCAUGCGUCCCAUUAGCUUGUUGGUGAGGUAACGGCUCACCAAGGCAACGAUGGGUAGGGGAACUGAGAGGUUUAUCCCCCACACUGGUACUGAGACACGGACCAGACUCCUACGGGAGGCAGCAGUGAGGAAUAUUGGUCAAGGGGCGCGAGCCUGAACCAGCCAAGUCGCGUGAAGGAUGACUGUCUUAUGGAUUGUAAACUUCUUUUAUACGGGAAUAACAAGAGUCACGUGUGACUCCCUGCAUGUACCGUAUGAAUAAGCAUCGGCUAACUCCGUG